UAGUUGGUAACGUGUAGCGGUCUUACCAAGGCAACGAUGCGUAGCCGACCUGAGAGGGUGAUCGGCCACACUGGAACUGAGACACGGUCCAGACUCCUACGGGAGGCAGCAGUAGGGAAUCUUCCGCAAUGGGCGAAAGCCUGACGGAGCAACGCCGCGUGAGUGAUGAAGGUCUUCGGAUCGUAAAACUCUGUUAUUAGGGAAGAACAUAUGUGUAAA
rnacentral:rRNA from 1 species